UUUGGUGAUGCGACACGCACUGCUGAGCGGACAGUGAGGUUGAGAAUAACAGAUUAUCUAUAAAUAGACGUUAGUGUAUCGGUUGUAAGUGUUACAAUCCGCUUGACCAGUAAUUUUACAUCUGAUCAGAAACUAUAUUUAUAAUAUGUGGGUUCCUCUCACCCUGCUCCCUAAAUAGAGUUGUAAACAAUCACACCUUUGUGAAGUUGUCAUAUGAUGUGUUCCAUCGGUCUUGCAUCAAUCAACAAAGCAGGGACAAGAUGUUACACUGGAAAACGGUCUUCAUUUGGACACUUUUAUGUUACUACAAAGGUGUACAGUGCACGAUAUGUUCAGAAGCUGCAGCAUCCGAAAACAUCGAAGUGAUCAGGAUGUGCCAGAGCGGAAGUAUGAGCACACGACGUGUAGUCAUAGAUACAUAUGACACAGGGGCCCCGGAUGUAAACAGCUGUACCUGUACCGCAAGACAAUACAUCACAUCCAGUUAUCUUGUUAGUGUUGGAAGGGCUUAUAAACUUGAACAAAAUAGAAAUUGUGGCAGUGUGCUCAGCAUGGAAUCACCGGAAAACGACCCUCUGGGGUUUGAGUGUUUAAUGUCGGAUACAAUAUAUUUCGGAAAAAGGAGUUCGUUGGAAUUUAUUUUGUCCAGGACAGAAGACAGCAGUCCGUGGUAAUCCGGAUACUGUAUUCUAUUGGAAACAGAUAACACCAAAUGGAAUAUUUCCUGUCUCCCAGCAGAGAAAGUAACGACCAAACUACCAACCGCGACGACUCCACAGCCAACAUUGGCGACAACAUCAUCAUCAACAGCUAUAACAAUAUCCACAGGAUCUGGAGUGACGCCACCGCCAUCUUCUGUAUCAGUGACACAAAUAAGCUCGUCCAAUAUACCAGAGAGCAGUACCAAGAAUAUUUGUUCUCCACAAACAGUUGAAGUGUUUUCAACAGCGACAGUGAUAGUACCUAUUGUCAUCGUUGUGUUGAUAGCAGCUGUGGCAACAAUAGCUAACGUCAUCCUCUAUCGAAGACGUUUGGCAUUGGAUAGUAAACCAAAGAACUCCCAUCAUGUCCUCAGACCGUCAGAUUCUGCCGUUUACGAUAGCAUUGACGUAGCUCGUCUAGAACCUCCCCAUACUUACGCCGAUACCACAGCUGGAAGAAUGUACGCCAAUACGGCUUCUGAUACCAGUGCUGGUAGAUUGUACGAAAAUACAUCAGUCGGUACCACUGCUACGUAACCAUGGCUGACAGGAAGCGGUCAGUUGAACAUUGAACAACAAAAGACGCAAAAACAAAACUGAAAGCGGAAGACUUUUAACGAUUUAACUGGAGUAUAUAAUGCGUGUAGGGAUUUUUUCAGGCGGAAGAAAGACAUAGUUUAUGUAAUGAUGACAGCAUAAAUCGCGCUUAACGUGGUAGUGGGUUGCGACUGUUCACAAUUUCACUGAAAAUGGUGGAAUUGAUUGCAUUCGAUCACAUACCAAAUAUUAAAAUAAAACUAAUUCAUGUUCCAUUUUUGAAAUACUGUUAAGCAAAUGUGUUUAGUCUAUGAAGUAUUUACAGUAUUUACACAUACAAAAAGUACAGUGAUACACACCAAUUUAAAAUAUAGAAAAUACCUUUUCGAUCAUUAGGAUCGGAGAAUCCCUUUUUCAAUUUUCAGAUGAUAAUUCCUUGUGGUGUUUUUAUAUGUAAUGAAUUGUUUGAGAAUUCACAUGAGUAAUUUUAUAUUUUGUAUACUUUUCAACGUUGAAUUAAAGUGAUUAUUUUGUUACAUCAUACCGUUUGUUAAAUGCUUACCAAAAAGUCACAAAUAAAUUGAUUAAA
rnacentral:lncRNA from 1 species